rnacentral:rRNA from 1 species
AUACGAAGGGGGCUAGCGUUGUUCGGAAUUACUGGGUGUAAAGGGAGCGUAGACGGUUCUGCAAGUCAGGGGUGAAAUCCCGGGGCUCAACCUCGGAACUGCCUUUGAUACUGGGUGUCUAGAGUGUGGAAGAGGUAAGUGGAAUUCCGAGUGUAGAGGUGAAAUUCGUAGAUAUUCGGAGGAACACCAGUGGCGAAGGCGGCUUACUGGUCCAUUACUGACGCUGAGGUGCGAAAGCGUGGGGAGC